AGAGCCUUGAGGGAGCAGCAAGGACAUACUGUGACAUAAUAAAGGCCAUAUGCACUGUGAUCUCAUAGUCAAUGUCAUGUCAAAGGAGGAACAGCUUAUACAAUCAGAAUGAGACAAAGUUUCCAAUCUCUGCUCUUAGACCAUCUUAACUAGAGUGAAGCGGUGUGACCAGCUAUGAUGCCUCAUCCUCUUGUUGCCAUGGAUUUCCAGUUAUGGUGGACUUUAUCCUUGAACUCUGAACCCAGACAAACCUUUCCUUCCUUAAGUUGCUUUUGUCAGGAAUUUGAUCUGAACAACAGAAGUAAAUGAUACAGAUGCCGAACUUCA